UACGAAGGGUGCAAGCGUUAAUCGGAAUUACUGGGCGUAAAGGGUGCGUAGGCGGUUCGUUAAGUCUGUCGUGAAAUCCCCGGGCUCAACCUGGGAACUGCAUCCGAUACGGCGGGACUGGAGUGUGGGAGAGGUUGGUGGAAUUCCCAGUGUAGAGGUGAAAUUCGUAGAUAUUGGGAAGAACACCGGUGGCGAAGGCGGCCAACUGGACCACAACUGACGCUGAGGCGCGAAAGCGUGGGGAGCGAACAGG
rnacentral:rRNA from 1 species